rnacentral:rRNA from 1 species
AAUAUUGCACAAUGGGCGCAAGCCUGAUGCAGCAACGCCGCGUGAGCGAUGAAGGCCUUCGGGUCGUAAAGCUCUGUCCUCAAGGAAGAAUAAAUGACGGUACUUGAGGAGGAAGCCCCCGGCUAACUACGUGCCAGCAGCCGCGGUAAUACGUAGGGGCAAGCGUUAUCCGGAAUCACUGGGCGUAAAGGGUGCGUAGGCGGUUUUCAAGUCAGAAGUGAAAGGCUAUGGCUCAACCAUAGUAAGCUUUUGAAACUGUUAAACUUGAGUGCAGGAGAGGAAAGUGGAAUUCCUAGUGUAGAGGUGAAAUUCGUAGAUAUUAGGAGGAACACCAGUGGCGAAGGCGACUUUCUGGACUGUAACUGACGCUGAGGCACGAAAGCGUGGGGAGCGAACAGGAUUAGACACCCUGGUAG